rnacentral:rRNA from 1 species
ACGGGUGAGUAACGCGUGGGCAACCUGCCCUGUACAGAGGGACAACAACGGGAAACCGUUGCUAAUACCUCAUAAAACCCUAAAGGGGCAUCCCUUAUGGGUCAAAGAAUUUCGGUACAGGAUGGGCCCGCGUCUGAUUAGCUAGUUGGUGAGGUAAUGGCUCACCAAGGCGACGAUCAGUAGCCGACCUGAGAGGGUGAUCGGCCACACUGGAACUGAGACACGGUCCAGACUCCUACGGGAGGCAGCAGUGGGGAAUAUUGCACAAUGGGGGAAACCCUGAUGCAGCAACGCCGCGUGAGCGAUGAAGGCCUUCGGGUCGUAAAGCUCUGUCCUAAGGGAAGAAAUUUGACGGUACCUUAGGAGGAAGCCCCGGCUAACUACGUGCCAGCAGCCGCGGUAAUACGUAGGGGGCAAGCGUUAUCCGGAAUCACUGGGCGUAAAGGGUGCGUAGGCGGUCUUACAAGUCAGGGGUGAAAGGCUACGGCUCAACCGUAGUAAGCCUUUGAAACUGUAGGACUUGAGUGCAGGAGAGGAAAGUGGAAUUCCUAGUGUAGCGGUGAAAUGCGUAGAUAUUAGGAGGAACACCAGUGGCGAAGGCGACUUUCUGGACUGUAACUGACGCUGAGGCACGAAAAGUGUGGGGAGCAAACAGGAUUAGAUACCCUGGUAGUCCACACCGUAAACGAUGAGUGCUAGGUGUUGGGGGUCGAACCUCAGUGCCGCAGCUAACGCAUUAAGCACUCCGCCUGGGGAGUACGCUCGCAAGAGUG